AAUGAUCCAAUAACUAGUUCCCCUUUCAGUUCAUUUAGCCCACCUAGCUCAUCAAGUCUAUGACGCCUUGCUCUAUCCAAUUUAAAAGAAGGUAGCAUUUGCAGAUGAGUCAAUCUUUUCAUCCCAAAUGGAACUUCCUUAUCCUUAUCAAAAUAAACAUGUCUCAAGUUGAUCAAAUUUUCCAUUUCCCUAGGAAACGUUUUAAGAUUGUCUGUAUUUGACAUUCUUAACGUCUGAAGAUUAUAGAGCUUGCCCAUAGAUUUGGGGAGUGCUUUUAAUUUUGUACUUGAAAUAUUGAGAUACCUCAAGCGUUUCAACUUUCCAAUUGAGAUGGGCAACUCCUCUAUUACAGCCAUGUAUAAAUUCAAUGUCCGUAAAUCUCUGAACCUUUCAAACAUGUUACUGAACUCAAAGCGUCGUGGAGGAAACAAUGAUAGCAAUCUCCUAACGCUUCCUUGUAGAAAUCUUUCAAGUGUCGUGGAAGAAAUCCGGGCAACAUGCUGAAUCUCAAGUGCUCCAUCGUCCAUCCGAUCCAAGUCUCGUGUCAAGCUUUCAAAUUUGAAUACUUCCUCAGCAAGAUCAUGCACAAGAUCGUGCAUCUUGCAUUUGGUAUUCCCAUACUCAUCUUCUCUUUCUCUUCUAUGUGCAUACUGAUAGUUUCUAGCAUAUUGAAAUAAAGAGUUUUGCAAUAGAAUAUUAAAAUAUUCAUUACCUUUAUCCUCCAUGGGAGAAGAAUGGAGAUAUCCUUGAGCCAUCCAGAGUUGGACCAAGUCAUCUUUUUCAAUCUCACAAUCUUUUUCAAACAUUGAGCAAUAUGCAAAACAUUGCUUCAAUGAUGGCUCUCUUAAAUUAUCAAAACUCAACUUCAAGAUCGGCAUGAUUCGGUCCUCUCGAUCUGGUAAUUCCCAUAUUUUACUUUCUAGAAUUGACGACCAUUCCUGUGAAUGCAUCAAGCUUCCUAAAACCUGUUGAUACAUAAGAUAAUUAGUUUCUAUAUGUUGUAGAAUAAUAAAACCUGAUUAGCAAAAUAAUAACAGUGCCAAAUUUUAGUUUUAUUGAAUUUUGACUAACAUUAUUGGCAAGAUAAUGACGCAUUGAACUCAACUUUGUUUUGUAUCGAUGAAAAGUGAAAGACUGCUCCUGUUAGAAGAGAAAUACUAAAGGGACUUGCUAGCCAAGUAAGAAUUGGUUUCAGAAUUAAUUGAAAGAUACUUUAUUAGAUCAGUUAAAUAUAAGUUUUAAUUUUUUUUUAGUACAUCAAUAUGUUUUUAUAUUAAAGGGAGGGAGAGUUCGGCUAAACCACAUAAUGGAUAACAUAAUUUGGUAUCGAAUUCACCAUCCACAAGAUUUGAACCUAAGACCUCUCACUUUCAAGUGAAGAGAAAUACCAUGAUACUGUAGUAUUGGAGCUAUAAGUUUCAAUUAGAUACUUAUGAUAACUGGGUAAUUGAAUGGUUUGUAACAAUGCACUAGGAAGGUAGUAUUUUGAAGGAGCGCUUUGAUCCACAUUUUCUACUUUGACAUGUAUAUAUAAGGUUAAGCUUCGGAGACACUCAUUUUUGAAACAUAUUUUAACACAAGUUUUCGUGGCUUUCAUUCUAUAAUUUUUUUUUUUCAAGGAUCUCAAUCAUUUAUAUUUCAAUUCAUCAUUCAUAAAUCUUUCUUGUAAAAAAUUAGAAAAAUCCAAACUCAUUUUGACAUUUAUUUGUAGUGAAGGAAAAAGCCGAUAUGAUUCUACAAAGAUACACUAAAUUUACGCAAUUGCGCGAUGAGCACAAAGUGAACUAUUCUUUCGCCUUUUACUAAAGAAACACUAAAUUUGAUCCAAUGGUUUUUUUGGUAGAGAUGAUAUUUUAGGGAAGACGUCAAAUAUAAGACGGUUUAAUUGUUGAAAUACAUUAAACACACAAUAUAUAUAUAUAUAUAUAUAUAUAUAUAUAUAUAUAUAUAUUGGUUUUAAGGGAAGGUAUCCACAUUUUUUUUAUAAAAUUAGGGAUCUGUUGUGGGGCCCACACCACAUCGAAUUUUAACGAUCCGAACCGUCUAUUUUUUAAGUUGCACCUCAAAGAUCAUCCUUGCAAAAUAUUAGCCAAAUUGGAAAUAUUUAAGACAUCUAAAUGGGUUCAAAGAAAUUAACGAAUACUUGUUAUAUAAAAAACAACGAAAUUUUAUCUUGAUAAUUAAAUAGGCAAAUGAUUUCAGAUUGAAUUGAAUUGUUGCAAGAAUGAUCUAUGAAUCGAGACUUACAAAAUAGACUAUUUAGAUCAUUGAAGUUCGAUGUGAAGUGGCCUACGGAUUGUGUCAAAAAAUGUGUCUCCCAAUCCUAAUCCAUAUAUAUAUAUAUAUAUAUAUAUAUAUAUAUAUUAUAUAAACAAAAUUGACCCUUUAAAGCUCACUAUUAUGUUUUUCAUGCAAUUUUCCUUUAAAAAUGUUGGACAAAAUUAGAUAUACCAAGUUAAGGCUUUUUAUAAUGGCGAUUAUGUUGAAUAUUUAAUCAUACUUAUAUUACUAACGUAUAGUGAUAUUUUUUUUACCUGUAACUGAAGGGUCUUAAGUUUGACUCAUAUGAAUGGUGAUGACACAUUAUAUUUAUUUGAGUUUGAGAUCUAGUAAUGACUAAUCCAUUAUAUGGCCUAGCCCAAUUAAACUUAGGGGGAGUCUAUCCAGGAGUCUCACUUGACCUUAAUAUAUUCUUUUUCCCAAUAGUUUGAAGCAUUUUUUCCUUUAAGUUUUUGCUACCUAAUAAGGUUUUAAUGAGACACCCAUCUUGGGAUUGUCAUACCCUUGUGUGCGUCCUUUUAGACGUUUAAUCUUUACUUUGCAUUAACUCAUAUUUCUCCUUAAGACUUAUUUUCAUAUGCAAGUUCCUUAUUUAAAACUAGCAUGUUUCUCUAUCAGUGCCUACGAGACGACUUCAUACUAUUUUUACAAAUCUGAUGCAAUAUCUACUUGAGUAUUUACACACUCAAGGGGGAGUGUUGUAAUUAAUAUUUGACAUUGUGUGUGUUUGUACCAUACUUGACCAAUCCCGAAACUACUGAGCAUCGGUCAACGUUAUAGCGUCAAGGACCCAAAAGAGUUUCCCUCCAACCAGAAGGUCAAUCACAGCGAGACACGUGUUGACAUCAGAAGCCAAUCAUAGCGCGACACGUGUCAACAUCAGAAGCCAAUCACACGUGUCAAUGUCAGAAUGAAACUAGAAACUCUCUUCUAUAAAUAGAGAUCAUUCUCUCACAAUAUUUCCUAAUGUCAUUUGUACUAAAUCAUUCACUUGUACUCACUAAAGGAGAGCUUGAACCUAUGUACUUGUGUAAACCCUUCACAAUUAAUGAGAACUCAUCUACUCCGUGGACGUAGCCAAUCUGGGUGAACCACGUACAUCUUGUGUUUGCUUCCCUGUCUCUAUCCAUUUACAUACUUAUCCACACUAGUGACCGGAGCAAUCUAGCGAAGGUCACAAACUUUACAUUUUCUGUUGUACCAAAGUCCUUACUGAUUUUGUGCAUCAACAUUUGGCGCCGUCUGUGGGAACGACACUUAUUCCCAUUCUCUUCAGCUUUGCCAAGCUGGUUUCCACCAUUCGUACACUCUCUUUUGACCAGGCAUCCCUCUCCAACAUGGGGAGCAAAGGAAGCCAGAGCACACAGAAUGACACCCAUCUUGCACCUAGUGCAAAGCAACGAAAGAAGGAAGGAAAUAAGGCUACUCUUCAAGCUAAAGUCGAUGAGCUAGAAGCUCAGAACAACAAGAUAGCAAUGAAGAAUGAGAUCCUCCGGGAGCAGUAUGAGAAGCUUUUUUAGACGCUCCACGAAACUAGGCAUACUCAAACACGCGAGCUCGUUGCCCCUGUAGACAUCAACCAUCAUCUGGGUGCCCCCCAACAUGGAGGGUAACCUCCCUUCGACAUGGGUAUCCCUGAUGAGGAGCGAGCUAAUCAUCAAAACAUUGAUCAACAUGAGACUUCUCUCAACCAGAUGCUUCGACCCAAAGUAGAAGAAGUGGAGGAAGAUACCUCCUUGCAGAAGGGUUGGAACUUAUCAAUCUCUAACCAACGAGACAAGGCACUUGCAAUUCCAAGGAAUUAAAAUCCUAACUAUCAAACCUCUGUUUGGAAUGCCCUAGCUCCUUGAGUUGACGAUGGAGAAAGUAUUUUAACCGCAACUUGAGUGCCAUCUUCCAAGUAGCCAUGGUAUACAAUCCCAAAUCCUCCUUUCCCAAUUUCAGUUUGAAAGUUUUUGGUGAUUUUUAAAACCUCGUCACAAGUAAACUGGGACUUCAUUGAUGCUACUGGUGUGCUACAUGUGUUUUGUUAUGUUUCUCCAUCUGCAGCUUAAGGACAAAAAGUUAUGAGUUCUAACUGGAUAGGAAUACCACUACGCCAUAGUAGCAGCGCUAUUUCUAACUAUAUAAUUAUCAAGGGCAUAAAAUGGCACCUGGUUUUCUUAUUCUUCUCAGCUUCCAGACCAGUAAGAGCACUAUAACUUGAAGGAGGGCCAUUGUUGAAAGUAAUGAUCCAAGUAUUGGAACAACAAUGUUCUUCUUGCACUUGCUUGAAUCUGAGCUAAAAAGAACUUAUCAGCAGAUAGAAAAUAUAAAUCUGAAGGACGCAAUACCAUUUGCUUUCGUUAAAGAAAAUGCUAACCUAUUCAGCACUCUCCAUGAACGAAACUUGCACAGAGCAGUAGGACGAGGAAACCAGUUGAGAUCUUCAUCUGUCUCAUUGCAGCCUAUGAACUACCUGGUAUUUAAAAUGUGUGACAAUGUCCUGACCAAAAAAACAGAAAAACAUAUAUGACAGUGUUGAUUUGUAAUCUCAUGCUGCACAACUUGCAGAGUACAUACAUGAUCCUUUACAUGGGGAUGCUUAGUCUACGUCAAUCAAUGGAUCAUGCAAUGUUCAUACUAAGAGAGCAAUUUGGUCAACCCAACGUAUUUUCUAGUCAAAGCAUUUAAAACAUUGUUCCUAUUAGGGUUAUGUGGUGUGAUACAAGUCAGGGAGAUAACCCGAAGUAUUAGACAAAAGUGAUUAAGUCGAGGACAAUAUAGAUGCAUACUUGUAUUUAGCCUAGACUGAUUCACUGCACAACAGAUCCCAACCCCAUUUUUAACCCACCAAGUUUUGAACAUGGGAUGAACGAGAGAGUUUGUAGCUACCUAGCAUGCUGCUGUCAUGGAACGUGCAUUUGUGGAAUCUGAACAUCUGGAAAUCACUCUAGGUGAACUCUGGUAUUGUGAGAUCAUAACAAGAGUUUCUUCAUUUGAGCCUGGAGUUCUUUCUCGAUGCUUAGACACCUCCAUUACAUACAUUUUAUUAGUUGGCACAGCACAAAACCAACCAUGGUGGCUCUAUGUUGGGAGGUGGAAGUUGUGCAUGCCAUUGCUGUCUUUAAUGAUUUCCUGACCGAAUUCACAUCGAACUUUCUUUGAAUCCUUCGAUCCAAAUUAGUUGUUAAAUCACCAUUCUGGAACUCAGAAUUCACCCACUCCACGAUGCAGACAAGAUCAUCACUUUCUAUGAUUGCAGCCUUGCAGGUUGGCCCGUAAAACUCUAAAAUUCAACCUUUGAUAAUUAUAGUACCUGCAGACAAUAAAAAGUAAUCAUAAAUAAACCACUCACUGUUCAUACAUUUGUAUUUAUAACAUGAUAAACAAUCUAAUAGAACACAGAAAUUUGAAUAUACUCGCAAUCAAGAUAACCCGCUCUGCCCAUGACCUAUGUCACCACACGAGUCCCAUUAUCACUGGAAAAAACCACAGACAGACCGAAACCUGCUCUUUUCGCAUCCAAGUUUUCGUUGUACUGUGCUUGCUCUCCCCUCUUAAUGCAAUUCUUCUAUUGGAUUCCCUUCUUGAGUGUAGCUGAAAUACAAAUCCAAUUUAUCUGUGAUUAACGUAUUCUAGAUAACUCGACAUGAUUUUAUUCAAGGAUGAAAGACCGAAGAAAGAAGGUGUAUAUUGGCUAAACAGACUACCUUACACAAAACUGGUCUCAUAAAAUUGUAUCUGCACCAUAACACCAUGUGGAAGAUGUCUUAGAACAUAUUCGAAUGCACAUUGGACGUUAUAACAUAUACAGAAUGACCACGGAUUCGUAAACAGUUGCAAAUGUACUUCUAUUAACUCAUAUUUAAGGACUAAAAAGCUUAAUCUCCACAAAAGUCUAAAGUGUUGUUCCAAAAAGAUUGUGAAAGCAAAGAAAUUAAUGUUCUUCCAUGAGGCUAGAAAGUGUAUGAUUUUGCAAACUAAAUGCAACUAAGACAAGAGAACAGAACCAAUCACGAAUUACUGUUUCGGGAAAGAAACUUACACUUGACUGUCAGAAAUGCAAGAAAUCUUGGGCCAGUUGAGCAGGUUACUUCUUUUAAUUUAGAACACAACAGUAAAAUGUAGACUGGCUUUCCUACUGUCGACAGAUACUUCAGGUUCCAACAACGGUGAGUAGAUAGAUCGUCGACACAUGAAAGGUUCCGUCAUCACUCUGGUAAGACCCUUCUGAAUCAUCCAGUGCCAUUGUUGAUGGUAAUGAUCCAAGUAUUGGAACAACAAUAUUCUUCUUGAGCUUGCUUGAAUCUAAUCUAAAAAUAACUUAUCAGCAGAUACAACAACAACAACAACAACAACAAAGCCUUUUCCCACUAAGUGGGGUCGGCUAAAAAUAACUUAUCAGCAGAUAGAAAAUAUAAAUCUGAAGGACGCAACGCCAUUCACAAAACUUGCCCAGAGCAGCAGGACGAGGAAACCAGUUGAGAUCUUCAUCUCUCUGUCUCAUUGCAGCCUAUGAACUACCAGGUAUUUAAAACGCAUGACAAUAUCCCGGCCAAAAAAAUUGAAAAACGUAUAUGAGUGCGAAUGAUCCUUAUUACAUGGGGAUGCUUAGUGUACGUCAAUCAAAAUGCAAUGUUCAUACUAGAGCAAUUUGGUCAAGCCAACGUAUUUUCUAGUCAAAGCAUUUCAAACAAUGUUCCUGUUAGGGUUAUGUGCUGUGAUACAACCCGAAGUAUUGGACAAAAGUGAUUAAGUUGAGUACAAUAUAGAUACAUAUUAUUAUGUAGCCUACACUGAUUCACUACAUAACAGAUCCCACACCCAUUUUUAACCCACCCAGUUUUGAACAUGGGAUGAAUGAGAGUUUGUAGCUACCUAGCUAUUAAGGGUGAAAAUGUAAUACAAUUAGUAAUAUAAUUAGGUAGUUAGUAUUUGGUUAAAGUAGUUAGGAUUUCUAUAUAAACAGUAUGUGUAAUCUUCAUUUGAGUUAGUUAAUACAAAUCCUAUUUCUCUCUCUAAACUCUCUGUCUCUCAAACUCUCUGUAUUGAUCUUUCUUCUCUUCAUCUUUCUUGUUGAUUUUCUUUCAAUUCCCAAAUAUUACAAUGUAGUUAAUAUGGUAUCAGAGCCACCAGGCUCACGCCAUGGAUUCUGGUGGUUUCACUUCCCAUUAUUUUACAUUUGGUUCUAGCUUAGUUCUAUCCAAAUUUUCAUUAGAUGUUAGGAAUUACGAUAAGUUUCUGGGUGCUUCCACGAUCGUUCUUUUACUUCUGGGUUGAUGUGUUUCUGGGUUGAUUUCUUUCUGAUCAAAUUCAUGAGUCUAUUCCCGAUCGAAAGCGAGAGAUCGAAAGUUGGAGAAAAUUUCAAAGCAAAAUGGUGGCAGAGCAAAUGCAGAGAGUAGCAUCUCCACCGUCGCAAUCGAUUGAGGCGCCGAAGAAGAAUAGAAUUCAGGUCUCCAACAAUAAGAAACCGCUCUUCUCGUUAAUCUUGCUAAGAGGUACAUAAAGCAGUACUAGGAGACUCAGUAUUCUGGGUCCGAUUGCGGAGGUUUCUUUGAUAUCUUGAUCAUGGCGGUUGGGCAACUCUUGGCGUUUGCACUACUUGCCUGGUAAUGUUGCUUUUCCGAUUCAGUUGCUUAAUUUCAUUAUUGGGUAACUUGAUUUGUUGAUUCUUGGAGGGUUCUUAGAGAUCUUUGAUCAGAACAGUGGACUGUGAAUUGGGUUCAAUUACUUGCUUUGAUUAGUAGAUGACUAGCACAGUUUUUCGAUUCAAGGAGGUGGUGUUGCUAAUUCCUUAAUUGGGUAUAUGAAGAAACAGUUGUUAAUUACUUAAUUGGUAAUUCUGAUUCUUGAAGAUGGUUUUGGGGAUUCAAUUUGUUCAGUUUGGACUGUUGCUCAAAGAAAGUACUGUUUUAUAAUCUGUUUUUGUAUAGGAAAUGGUUGUUGUUUGUUCAAGAUUGCAAAUCUUGGGAGCUCUUCAGGUUAUGAUUAUGUGCACUCCAACUGUUUGAAGGAAUGGGUCAGUAAAUUCUUUGAUCUCUACUCUGUUCUCUGGUAUGGAAGAAAGAUCAGACAUGGGUGCAGUCCAGGUGUUUGUUGAAAUGCCCAACUCAAACGUUUCAUGUGAAGUCUUUGUGGUAGUCUUAGCUGAACUUUUGUGGGAUCAAUUAAAAACCAAAAGGACUCAUUCUAGAAGCUCGUCAAAAGUGCAACAACCAUUUAGUUCUUGGUUCAUGGAUGAUCUUCUUGCAUUUUUUGAUAGAUCGGAAGAUACGACAAAUGAAUGUAUAGUAUGUGUUGUCAUUUACAACAUUGAUGGACCUGGACUAAGGGAAUCAGAAACCCAACAGUGUCUUGCAUGAGUUGUUUCUUGUUCUUAUAUUUGCAUUUUGGCCUCUAUAUGACAGCAUGUUUAGUGCACUGUGAAGUGGGAUGUCCUCCGAAUGUGAGCUCAUACAACACCAUGUUUAGUGCAUUGUGGAACUGUGGAGACAGAGUUUGAGCUUCGCAAAUGGUAUCAGAAAUGUUAAGCAAAGGAAUAGAUCCCGAUGGGAUUACUUACAAUUCGUUUACAUCGUGUUUGUGCAGUAUAUUUUCUUAUCUCAGCCUAUAAUUUCAUAGUCUAACCAACUCAGUUGUUAGCAUGAAUCUACAGUAAGUCCGGUUAUACGAUGAAGGAAGUUGUGAACGGUCAAUCCCACGAAGGGUAAUUCCGUGAUGUGAAUAGGUAAAUCCCACGAAAGGUAGAAGUUGUUAACGGUAAAUCCCACAAAGGGUAAUUCCGUGAUGUGAGUAGGUAAAUCCCACGAAGGGUAAUCCUACAUAGAUGUUGAUUUUCAAUUGUGAAGGCCGAUGCCAUUGUUCAAAGAAGUUGUUUUUUGGUAAAAUCCACAAAGGGCGAUCCCGUGGUGCUAUAGUUAAGGCCGAUGCCAUUGUUCAAAGAAGUUGUUUUUUGGUAAAAUCCACAAAGGGCGAUCCCGUGGUGCUAUAGUUAAGGCCGAUGCCACACUAUAGUUUGUUAAUUUUCUGUUUUUGUAAAUAUUAAAGGCCGAAGCCAAGUUGAAUGAGAUUGUUGACGGUGAAUCCCAUGAAGGGUAAUCCCGUAAGAAAUUGUUAUAACCGGCAUGAGGGUGUGCUACGACUCCUUUAUAGAAGGUUGUUCUUUGUGAAGAUACUGUUAGAGGCAGGGGAAGGAUGUCAUGAUUUCGGUCCACUGGUUGGAGUCAGAAGCUGGAAAUAGCAAGAUGAACAACUUCAUUAUUACACACUACUCCAAACUGCAAGUGACAGAGCAAUGGAACAUUAUUUGCCCAGAUCAAGUUGAAUGAGUUGAAAUUGGACACAGUUUGAUAACAUUUGAAGCAGAGAAGAUACUCAUUUUUGCCAUUUUACACACCCAUGAUGGAACAGUUGUUUUCUUGUUCUUUUUAUAAGAUGAAGUUGUUGAUGUCUGAUUAAAGUACUUUGAAAAUUGCUUUCAACUUUUGGAAGAUUGGUGCACCCAAACAUGGGGAAUUGGGUUACUCUUCCUUAGCGCCAUUGAUCGGUCUGCUCCAAUCUCAAUAUGAGUUUCCCCAGUUGAGAUUGAGGGGGAGUAUUAAGGGUGAAAAUGUAAUACAGUUAGUAAUAUAGUUAGGUAGUUAGUAUUUGGUUAAAGUAGUCAGGAUUUCUAUAUAAACAGUAUGUGUAAUCUUCAUUUGAGUUAGUUAAUACAAAUCCUAUUUCUCUCUCUAAACUCUCUGUCUCUCAAACUCUCUGUAUUGAUCUUUCUUCUCUUCAUCUUUCUUGUUGAUUUUCUUUCAAUUCCCAAAUAUUACAAUGUAGUUAAUACUAGCAUGGUGCAGUCAUGGAACCUGCAUUUGUGGAAUCUGAACAUCUGGAAAUCACUCUAGGUGAACUAUGGUAUGGUGAAAUCGUAACACGAGUUUAUUCAUUUGAGCCUGGAGUUCUUUCUGGAUGCCUAGGCACCUCCAUUUCCAAACGUUGUGUUAGUUGACAUGACACUGCACAAAACUCAUGCUGCAGACCAAAAAAAGUAAUCAUACACCACUAACUGUUCUUACAUUUGUAUCCAUAACAUGAUAAAAAAUCUAAACCACGAACAAAUCAAGAUAACCCGCUGUGCCCAUGAUUGAUGUCACCACACAAGUCCCAUUAUCACUGGAAAAAACGAUGGACAUGCUCAAAUCUGCUAUUUUCGAGUCCAAGUUUUCGUUGCGCUGGGAUUGCCUCCUCUCUUAAUGCAAUUCUCUUGCUGGAUUCCCUUCUUAAGUAAGCUGAAAUACAAAUCAAUUUAUCUGUGAUUAACGUAUUUUACAUAACUUGACAUGAUCUUAUUCGAGGAUGAAAGAUGGAAGAAAGAAGUUACAUUUUAACUAAACAUAUUACCUUCCAUAAAAUUGGUAUAAUAAAACUGUGUUCGUUGGGUGAACCCACUGCCGUAGAUACUUGAGAUUCCCACAGCUCUGAAUAGAUAGUUCGUCCACACACGAAAGGUUCCGUCAUCACUCUGGCAAGAGCCUUUUGAAUCAUCAAGUGACAAUGCUUCCGAUUCUUCACCCGACUAAUAUCCCGUUUAUUGCAGAAAACGAGAGUGAGUGAACAAUAUUGGACAAAAUAUACAUGGAUAAUUGAUUGCAAAUAAAAAUAAGGGCUCCAAAAUAAAAAUUACCUUUGACAACUGGAAUGUGAUAAAUCUUUGGCUAUUCUGGGCCGUCCCUAGCGCAUCUUUCUUGGAGACGGGGACACCAUCGGAUCUCUAGCUUAUGUAAUUUGGUUAGGCGUUGCAUAGCUUCGACCGCAGGCAGAAACAUCAGAUUCUUACAAUAGGAAAUUUCCAACUUUGUAAGAGAUGUAAGGUUGCCCAACCACUCUGGAAGAGCCUCCACACCAUGGAACUUAUAAAUGGACAAAGAUGUUAGACAAGUAGAGUGUUGAAUUGGCUGAGGCAGAGACUUGAGCUUAGGCCACCCGUAUAAUAUUAAUUUUUCCGAUGGGACCUGAAGAUCCGGGAAAGAAUCGAGCUGCUUGCAGAACUUACCGAUCCACAACCUUUUCAAACCAGAUAGAGAGUGCAGCCCCUUGGGCAAAUAUUGUAAUUUCCGACAAUUAGAUACAGAUAGAGAGGAAAGAGAUUGCAAGCUGGACAAAUUGUGAUCUGCUAGAGAUAUCAAAUUGUGGCAACCAUCGACAUACAAACUGGUAAGAGAUAUGCAGGAUGCAAGCCCACUCGGUAUACUUGUUAAUCGACCGCAAUCCACAAUCUGCAACUCAGUGAGGGAUGUAAGGUUGUCUAUACUGGGAAUAGCCUCUAGAUCAGGGCAUUCGCUGAUAAUUAGAACUUCAAGUGAGACGGGGGUUUGUAGCCCAUGACCCGACAACGUCCUCAAAUUUGGACAAUGCCAAAUACUUAGGGGGGUGUAUUCAAUUGAGAAUGUGAGAGAUUUUAAUGGAUUUAUAAAUCUAUGGAUUUUUAUGGAGUUUAAUUGAUUUGUAGAGAUUCCAUAUAAAAUUUUGAUUCAAUUCCCUCGAAAUCUCAUGGGAAGAGGUGAGAUUUGUGGUUACUUAAAAUACACUAUGAAAUCUCUCCAAUUCCCUCUAAUUCCUCGACUUUCUCAAAUUCUUUAAAAUCAAUUUCUAAUUGAAUACAUCUGGAAUGUUAUAAACUUCUUUAAAAUCUUAAUUGAAUACACCUGGAUUUCUAAGGAUUUUAAUAAACUAUUUAAAAAUUCUAAUUGAAUACACCUAGAAUUUCAGAGAAUCCCUUAAAAUCCUGAUUGAAUACCCCUAGAUUCAUUAAAAGAAUUAAAAUCCCUUAAAAUCCCAAUUGAAUACACCCCCUUAGUGUGCGAAGACUAGUACAAGAAUGGCGCCCACUCAGUAUACUUUUGAAUCCAUUGCAAUUUUCAAUAAACAAAUCAUGGAGGGAUGUGCAACCGUUUAAAGACAAGUCAUCCUCCUCCUCCUCCGGUAAGAAAUCUACCGACUUCUCAAUUCACAAAAGACGGAGUGAGGGCAAACUGUGAAUUGAAGUGCAUCUUAGCUUUCAGCCUCCAACUAUUCUCAACUCCUCCGAUGAGAAACCCGUUCUGCCCAUGACCAAUGUCCCUACACAAGUCUCAUUAUCACUGGAAAAAAAACCAUGGACAGACCGAAAUCUGCUAUUUUUUGCAUCUAAGUUUCCGUUGUGCUGCGCUUGCUCUCCUCUCCUAAUGCAAUUCUCUUACUGGAAUCCCUUCUUAAGUGAGCUGAAAUACAAAUCCAAUUUUAUCUGUGAAGACUGUGAUUAAUGUAUUCUAGAUAACUUGACAUGGUUUUAUUCAAGGAUGAAAGCUUUGAACAAAGAAGUUACAUAUUGACUAAACAUAUUACCUUCCAUAAAAUUGGUCUAAUAAAACUGUGUGAGUUGAGAGGACCUGCACACAGUGAGAAGAAACACAACCUUGUACAAAACUGCGAGAAAUCUUGCGCCAGUCGGGCGGAUUGCUUGUUUUAAUUUAGAAGGCAACAGUAAAAUUUGGAUUGGCUUCCCUACUGCCGAGUGCCGAUAGAUACUUGAGAUUCCCACAACGGUGAAUAGAUAAAUGGUCGAUUCAUGAAAGGUUCCGUCACCACUCUGGUAAGAGCCUUUUCAAUCAUCAAGUGACAAUCAUUCUGCUGUCAAUACUGCAGAAAACGAGAGUGAAUGAAGAAUUUAGAACAAAAGAUACAUGGAUAAUUGAUUGGAGAUAAAAAUGAGCACUCCAAAAAAAAAAAUUACCUCAGAUGUGGAAUGUGAGAAAUCUUUGGCCAUUCUGGGCCGCUGUCCUUGGCGCAUCUUUCUUCCAGACGGGGACACCGUCCAAUCUCUAGAUCAUGUAAUUUGGUUAGGCGUUGCAUAGCUUCGACCGUAGGCAGAUACAUCAGAUUCUUACAUUUCCAAAUUGACAACCGUGUAAGAGAUGUGAGGUUGCCCAACCAUUCUGGAAGAGCCUCCAGACCAUCGAAACAAGAAAUGGACAAACGUGUUAGAGAAGCAGAGUGUUGAAUUUGCUGAGGCAGAGACUGGAGCUUAGGCCACCCGUACAAUCUUAAUUGUUUCGAUGGGACCUGAAAAUCAGGGAAAGAAUCGAGCUCUUGGCAGAAGGCACCGAUAGACAACACUUCCAAACGAGAUAGAGAGUGCAGCCCCUUGGGAAAAUAUUGUAAUUUCCCACAUUCAGAUAAAUAUAAAGAGGAAAGAGAUUGCAAGCUGGACACAUUGUGAUCCGCCAGAGAUAUCAAAUUGUCGCAUGAGUCGACCAGUAAUUUGGUAAGAGAUGUGCAGGAUGCGAGGCCACUUGGUAUACUUGUUAAUCGAUCGCAGUUGCCAAUAGACAAUUCAAGGAGGGAUGUGAGGUUGUCUAAACUGGGAAGAGCCUCCAGAUUACUGCAAUGCUUGAUACUUAGAUGUUCAAGAGAGACGGGGGUUUGUAGCCCAGGACCCGACAAAGUCCUCAAAUUUGGACAUUUAUAAAUAUCCAUUGUGCGAAGACUGGUACAAGAAAGGAGCCCACUCAGUAUACUUUUGAAUCCAUCGCAGUAUCUAAUAAUCAAAUGACGGAGGGAUGUGCAACCGUUUAAAGACAAGUCUUCCUCGAGAGUAGUGCAUCUCUCAAUAACCAAAUCACGGAGUGAGGGCAUAUUCUGAAUUGAAGUGCAUCUUAACUUUGGGCAAUCAACUAUUUUCAACUCCUCAAGAGACUGGGAUGAUGAAAUUUGGAAGGAUUCUAGAUUGCGGCAAUAUUUAAUUUCCACUGUCUCAAGUGAAGGGCAAUAGUCUAACCCACAACACAAGCUCAACAAUUUCUCACAACUCCUAAUUCUCAAUUCACGGAGAUUGGUUACUCGACUGCAUAUAUUUUCUAUUGGCAUGGCGUUAUCAACAUAACGUAUAUCUAACUCCCUGAGAGAUGGAAAAUGAGUGGGAGCACUUGCCAAUCCCCGACAAUGCUCUAUUGUCAACUGCUCAAGGCAGGGAAACACUACUAAGGCUGCUUUCUCACCUGUUGACCUCACUUUCUCAACAACCGCUUCCUUCCAUUCACUUAAUGAUGGGCAAUGGAUAAAUGAUAAGCUUUUCAAUGCUGGAAACAAAGUCACCUCCGUGGCCGCCUCAUCAUUAUUAAUGUAUUUAUAACCAUAAAACUCAACUCCAACACAUUUAAGCUUCUCCAUAUUCUCAAAUAAAAUACGUCUAAGAUUCGGCAAGUGUCCGAGUGGUGGGACUGCUUCACAUUCUACACAACAGCUUAACUCAAUCUCUAUUAAAUUGAUGGGCAACGAAUCGCUCAUCAUCCAUGAUGCAAAUUUAGUACCCUUGAAUUCCUCAAUCCUCAAGCUUUCUAUGUUGGGGUGCGGCUGGAGUCCUUCAAGAAUAUCCUCGUCAAGAAAAUUGCCAUUUCUUUCUUCAGGAGGGACCCACCCCCAUUUUAAUAUCAAUUUUCGUAGGUUUGCCUUUUUCACUAAUUUUGAUUUCAUUGCUUCUUCCUUGUCUCUCACAAAUUCCAAUGAUCCAAUAACUAGUUUCCCUUUCAGUUCAUUUAACCCACCUAGCUCAUCAAGUCUAUGACGCCUUGCUCUAUCCAAUUUAAAAGAAGAUAGUGUUUGCAGAUGAGUCAAUCUUGUCAUUCCAAAUGGAACUUCCACAUCCCCGUCGAAAUAAACAUGUCUCAAGUUGAUCAAAUUUUCCAUUUCCCUAGGAAACGUUUUAAGCCUCCAUGCUCUUAACAUUCUUAACGUUUGAAGAUUAUAGAGCUUGCCAACAGAUUUUGGGAGUUCUUUUAUUCCUGUCCAGGAAAUGUUGAGAUACCUCAAGCGUUUCAACUUUCCAAUUGAAUUGGGCAACUCCUCAAUUUCAGCAUCGAAUAAAUUCAACAUCCGUAAACCUUUAAACCUUUCAAAGAUGUUACCACUAGGGACCUUGCAAUCAACAAACAACGACCGCAAUCUCUUAACACUCCCUUUUGGAAUUCUUUCAAGUGUAGUGGAAGAAAUCCGCGCAACAUGCUGAAUCUCAAGUGCAUCAUCAUCCAUCUGAUCCAAGUCUCGCGUCAAGCUUUCAAAUUUGAAUGCUUUUUCUGCAAGAUCAUGCACCAGAUCGUGCAUCUUGCAAAUGGUAAUACUGUACUCUUCUCUAGCAUCUUGAAAUAAAGAAUUUUGCAAUAGAAUAUUAAAAUAUUCAUUACCUAUAUCCUCCAUACUCACGUUGGUAGAAGAAUGGAGAUAUCCUUGAGCCAUCCAGAGCUGGACCAAGUCAUCUUUUUCAAUUUCAAAAUCUUUCACAAACAUUGAGCAAUAUGCAAAACAUUGCUUCAAUAAUGACGGUGUUAAAUUAUCAAAACUCAACUUCAAGACCGACAUGAUUUUCUCCUCUUCAUUUGGUAAUUCCCAUAUUUUACUUUCUAGAAUUGACGACCAUUCACGCCUGCUAUUUUUAGAACGCAUCAGGCUUCCUAAAACCUGUUGAUAUAUAAGUUAGUUUCUACGUAUUUUAUAAUAUAAAAAGGUGAUUAGCACAAUAAUAAUCCCAAAUUAUAGUUUCAUUGAAUUUUGAAUAGAGUGAUUAGCAAAACAAAGAUGCAUUAAACUCAACUUUGUUUUGUAUAGACCAGAAGUGCAAGAUUGCUCUCCAAUAGUUUUGCUUGUUAGAAGAGAAAUACUACGGAGACUUGCUAGCCAAGUAAGAAUUAGUCUCAGAAUUAAACUCAAAGAUCCUUGAUUAGAUCAUUUAAAUGUGUUAAUUUAAUACUUAUAUGAUAACCGAGUAAUUGAACAGUUUGUAACAAUGCACUAGGAAAGUAGUAUUUUGAAGGAGCGUUUUGAUCCAAAUUUUUUAUAGUGUUCUACAAAGAAACACUAAAUUUAUGCAGCCGCGGGGUGAGCAUAGAGCGAACUAUUCUUUCGCCUUUUACUAAAGAAACGCUAAAUUUGAUCCAACGGUCAUACGACUUCGGAUUUGGGUGAUCUUUUGUAAUGAUCAUUUUGAGGAAACACAAAAAUAGACGGUUAAAUCGUUGAAAUAUACAAACCUAUAUAUAUAUAUAUAUAUAUAUAUAUUAUAAACAAAUUGAUCCUUUAAAAGCUCAUUAUUAUGUUUUUCAUGCAAUUUUCUUACAAAAAUGUUGGGACAAGAUUAAAUUUUACUGAGUUAAGGUUUUUUAUAAUGGCGAUUUUGUUGAAUAUUUAAUCAUACUUAUAUUAGCAAACUAAAAGAUCUUAAGUUCGACUCAUAUGAAUGAGGAUAACUUAUUAUAUUUGUUUGAGUUCGAAACCAUACUCAUACAUGACCCAGCCCAAUUCCCGUUAAGAGUAGAAUAGUAGAAAUCAUAGUCAUACAUUACCCUAAUUCUGCAAACUAAUCCUUUAUGGAGAAAGCCACCAAUCUAUGUCUUCGACUGGCGACCCAUUUUUGUGUGUAAUUAAUGUCUCAUAUUACAAACUUAUCUCUGAACUACUCAUUAAUCUUUUAAUAUCUAUUUUAGGUAAACGUAUUUGACAAAACCAAGAUGUUUUUAUUCCCAUUCAAUUGAUUAAUUCAAUAUGGGAUAUCGGAGUGAUGCUAGAGAGACCAACUACUUCAAUCACACUCAUAGAUCACAUGAUGUGUUAGUUGAUGGUUGGACUUAUUAUUCAAAUCAUUAAAGAAAGAAUCCAACUAUCAACUGCUACAUCAUGCGGUCUACAAAAUAUGGUAUCCCUACUCCCUAGCAUAAAAUUGCAAGAAAACUUGAUAUGAAAAACAAUUUGGGUCAUAAUCGUUAUCAAUUUGCAUCAUCUUUCUCUAUGAUUAAAACUGUAGAUUUUUUGUUUCAAAGUGUUUUCUAUUUCAUGAGUAAUUCCGAAUGUACAAUGCAGUAUAUACAGGCAAGAGAAACAAAUGGUUAGAAGCAACCAUCUUUACAUGAAACCCUAGAGACCGGUUAAACCUAGGACACAAGCUUUUCCUUAAUUUAAGGUGAUUUACAUCAAAUCCUAGACUAAGAAGUAAUCAGCAAGUUAAGUGCCUUGAAUCAAGGAACUAGAAAAACUGGCGGUUGACUUGUGUAUCUAUGGUUACUUGUGGACUUGAUAUGAGAUGACAUGCUAGGGUUUAGUGUGACUGGUUCCAACACUCCCCCUCAAGCUGGAUCGUGAAGUGUAGUCGAGCCAAGCUUGCUCAGAAGCCUAUGUAACUGAGAAAAGGGUAGAGCCUUAGUAAAUAAGUCAGCCAAUUGAUCAUGACUUUGAGUGAAUUGAGUCUGAAUGACUUGUGUUUGAACUUGAGCUCAGAUGAAAUGGCAGUCCACCUCAAUGUGCUUGGUUCUUUCAUGAAAAACAGGAUUAGCUACAAUGUGCAUGGCAGCUUGGUUAUCACACAUGAGAGACAUAAGGGCUUGAUGUGAGAGCCCUAAAUCUGAAACCAAGCCUUUAAGCCAAAUCAGUAAGCAUGCAGUGGCUGCCAUUGCUUAAUACUUUGCUUCAGCACUCAAUCGUGCUAUAACAUGUUGCUUCUUACUCUUCCAUGUCACGAGGUUUCCCCUAAUGAAAGUACAAUAUGUAAUGGUAGAUUUUCUGUCAAUUGCAUUACCUGCCCAGUCUGCAUCGGUGUACGCACUAAUUUCUAUGGACUGAUUGUUUGACAUAAGAAUGCCUCUGUCCAAUGAACCUUUGAGAUAACGAAGAACACAUUUACCAAGGUAAAGAUGUUGCAUUGUGGGAGCAUGCAUAAACUGACUAACUAAGCUGACAACAUAGGUGAUGUCUGGAUGUGUGAUAGUGAGGUAGAUAAGCUUACCAACAAAUCUUUGGUAGUAGCUUAUGUUGGUGAGAGGUUCUCCAGUAGAAUCAAUCUUCAUUUUGCUGUCAAUAGGUGUGAUGGCAGGCUUGCAAUAGAGAUUAGCCUCAGUGAGUAAAUUAACAACAUUCUUUCUUUGACUGAGGAACAACCCUUUGUGAGAGGUGGUCAUUUCAAUGCCAAGAAAGUACUUUAAUCUCCCAAGAUCUUUGAUGGAAGAUGUGUGGUGUAAGGAGUGUUUCAAGGCUUUGAUUCACUCUCAUUGUCACCAGUGAUGAUUAGAUCGUCAACAUAGAUGAGAACCACAAGUUUUCCACUUGAACCACUUCAAAUAAAUAACAAGGAAUCAACAUUGCUUCUUAUGAACUCUGUUUUUUCUAAGACAAAACUUAGCUUGGCAUACCAUGCUCUCGGAGAUUGCUUGAGUCCAUAGAUUGCCUUAUGUAGUUUACAAACCAUUCUUUUUUCCACUUGAGUGUAACCUAGUGGGGGUUGCAUGUAGACUUCUUGAAGUUCUUCAUGGAGAAAGGCAUUCUUUAUGCCUUUCUAUUGAACCAUCUGCCUUGAGCUUAGUUUUGUAAAACCACCAGCUUCCAACAGCAUUCUUUCCUAGAGGCAACUUGACAAUGCUCCAGGUAUUGUUCUCUUCCAAUGCAUUCAGCUCUUCAGCCAUAGCUAAUUUCCAAUAUGGCAAGGAAACAGCUUCUAAGAAUGUUCUUGGUUCAGCAAUUUUGGAGACUUCAGUAAGAAAUGCACGGUGAGAAGUUGAAUACUUUAAGUAAUGUAGUACAUCAGAGAUAGGGUACCUUAAGGCAUAAGUGACAUAGUCCAAUAGCCUCGCUGGAGGUUUUCUUGUCCAAGCAAGAUUUCUUCGUGCACCUUGAGUUGGCUGUGAUGAUUGUUCAUUGUCAACUUGAUUUUUAGAGCCAUGCUCAACGUCCUCUUGUGAAAUGACCUAUGGAUUUGAGAGGUUUGUGACUUGGUGCACCUCCCCAUUGCCUUGAGUGCCUUGCUGGAACAUCAUCAUCUUGUUCUAUGUACAUAGGUAAUGGGACCAAGUCAUGUAGAGACCCCCCUCCACCAGAAGCAUGCUUGGUGGUUAGAAGAAAUGAGUGUCUUCAUAAAAAAAAAACAUCUCUUGAGACAAUGCAUUUUGUUGGUAGGGGAUUGAAGCAUUUGUACCUUUUUUGUGUAGAUGAGUACCCUACAAACACACAUUUUGCAGCCCUAGCCUCCAGUUUGUCACGAUGUUGAGGCUACACAUGAACAAAGCAUGAGCAACCAAACACUUUCAAGUGAGACAGGUUGAUAGACCUCUUUUCUAGAGUUUCACAAGGAGAUUUAAACCAUAGAACAUGACUGGGUAGUCGGUUGAUGAGGUAUGUAGCUGUCAAAAUUGCAUAGGACCAAAACUUCUUUGGAACAUUCAUGUGUAACAUCAAUGCACGAGUCUUUUCAAGUAGGUCUCGGUUCUUCCGUUCAGCAAUCCCAUUUUGCUGUGGGGUUCCCACAUAGCUAGUUUGAUGUACAAUUCAUUUUGAACUCAAGUAUUGAACCAUGGUGUUGGAUAAAAACUCAAUGCCAUUAUCUGAUCUUAGUGUUUUAAUAGUUGAAUGAAAUUGGUUGGACACGAGUGUAUGAAAGUCUUGAAGGAUAGUUGAAACUUCACUUUUAGAUUUCAUGAGAUAAAGAAAAGUGACACGAGUGCAAUCAUCUACAAAUAUGACAAUGUAUGUGUAACCUUCCAUUGAUUCAAUAGUAGGACCCCAUACAUCGGUGUGAACAAGUUCGAAAUGUAUGCUAGAUCCUUACAUUGAGGUUCCAAAAGGUAACCUAGCAAACUUUGAGAAAUGACAAGUAUCACACUUAAUCAAUAGGUGACAAAACUUGGGAAAUAGUUUUGACAAAACAACUUCGGAUGGAUGGGCUAGCCUUUGGUGACAAAGUUGUUGAUUCUUGGAAAAGCUUGGUUGAACUUGAAGGGCUUUUGACAAAAGGGGUUUCGUGCAAAAAUAAUAGAGACCAUUUUGAUAGAAUCUUUCACCAAUCGUCCUCUUGGUGAGCAUCCUGAAAAAUUACAUUUGUGGGUGAGAAUAUGGCUAGGUAAUUUAGAGUGUUAGUGAGUUGUCCUACGUACAUCAACUGAAAUGGAAAAGAGGGUACGUAUAAGGAAGUAGACUCUAUGGUGUUUGAGACUAAACCUAGUUUUCCUCUUCCCAUGACCAAGACAUUUUUUCUAUUUGCAAUUGACACAUGAGAUGGUUUUGACAAGACUUGAAAAUCAUGUAAGUUUGAGGCUUUAUUUGUUAUGUUAUCAGAAGCACCUGAGUUAAUUGUCCAACAAUCAUGAUUAAAACUAGUUUAUAGUGUAGUUGAGAAUGCUUUGAAGAUACUUGGGACUGCAUCUUGUGAAACAUGAUCAUGAUCAGCUAGAAAUCCUGCAAACUGUCCAAGAAGUGUAGUUUGUUUGUUCCCUUCACCCUUGAUGUUUGUGCAGCUUCUCCAUGAUUCUUGGUUUGCAAGUAAGUUGCAAACUCGUUGAUAAGAGUAACAGGAUUGGUUGUGAAAUCCAUCAAGCCAUGAGUGAGUGAGUUGGUAGCAUGGUUGGCAACAUGCUAAGCCUUGAGAGGAGCCACUGAUGAGGAUCUUGGAACCAUCAUCCUAUUGUCUUUUAAUUUGGGCUUGAGUUCAGGGUGCAGCUCCCAACACCUCUCUUAUGUGUGACCAUAUGCAUUGCAAUACUUACACUUUAGAUGUGGAGUCUUUCCUCGGUACAUUUUGGCAUCAUGGUUUCUGUGGUUUGCAACAUACCCUUGAGCCUCAUAUAGCUUGAGAUUAGGCUCCACAUUCAUCACCCUUAUUCUUGCUUCUUCACGUUGCACUGUGACACAAACAGUCUUGAAUGAUGGUAGCUCCACGCUCAUUAAUAUGUGACUCCAGAGAUCCUCAUAUUCUGAGCUGAGGCUUGCGAGCAGUUGAUAGAUCUUAUUCUCCUCAACUCUUUUAAGAAGAAUAGUGGGAUCCGUGGUGUGAGGGAGGCCCUAAAUGUUGAACAAAAGACUUAUUUUCUUCCUGGAGGCAAGCAAUAUCUCUUUUCAAUUGGAAUACCCUGGCGUAGUUAUUCUAGUUCCCAUACAUAUCCUUCACAGAUUUCCACAAAUCUUGCAAGGAUUCACAGUAACUGAAUAUCUCAACAACAUGUUUCUCCAAAGUGUUGAGUAACAAGGACAUGACAAGUUGAUCCUUGCACAGCCAUGCUCCAUAGGUCUGAAAAGAAGAAUCUGGAAUUUCAACACUUCCAUUGAUGAACCCUAACUUUCCCCUUCCUCCUAGAGCGAGUGAAACUACCCUAGACCAAGGAAGGUAGUUGAGCUCAUUCAGCAGCACCGAGCAUAGGCGCUGGUUGGUAUUGACUUCAGCAUUCAAAAAAUUCGAGGGAGCAACCUGAGAGUUUUCUCCCUCAAGAUUGACUAUGCUUUCCUCAGCCAUUACAAAAGUUUAAACGAACACCAGUGGAAACAACACGGGCAGAGACAAGUCAAGGAUGACACUGCUCUGAUACCAUGUAGAUUUUUGGUUUCAAAGUGUUUUCUAUUUCAUGAGUAAUUCUGAAUGUACAAUGCAGUAUAUAUAGGCGAGAGAAACAAAUGGUUACAAGCAACCAUCUUUACAUGAAACCCUAGAGACCAGUUAAACCUAGGACACAAGUUUUUCCUUAAUUUAAGGUGAUUUACAUCAAAUCCAAGAAUAAGAAGUAAUCAGCAAGUUAAGUGCCUUGAAUCAAGGAGCUGGAAAACUAGCGAUUGACUUGUGUAUCCAUGAUUACUUGUAGACUUGAUAUGAGAUGACAUGCUAGGGUUGCUUUUGCUAGGGUUUAGUGUGACUGGUUCCAACAAAAACAGUUGGGCUUUAAUGACACGGAUUAAAUCUUAUUGGGUUUGAGAGUCAUGUUUUCCUAGACUUCAAUGACUAAGAAAAUGAUUAUCACUCACUGUUAAAUGUUUAAUCCAACAGUACAGAAAAAAGUAUAGUAAAAAAGUUAAAUGAGCACCAACCAUUAGAUUAAGAUCGAACGGUGGGUGACCACCAUUUUCUUGGUAAUUGGAUUAUAGGAGAACAAUUCUGUUGGGUUUUAUAGGGUUUCUUCUGUUUGAGUGGUUAAUUGGCUAUUCAAUCUUAUUGACCUCAAACCUAUGUGGCUAAAAGAAAUAGAGGAUUCAAAGCCAAGUCUAUGUUUGUCUCCUUUAAGAAAAUUUAGAGUAAUACUGUUGAUGUAAUCAAAUUUACUCCCUUAUUUGUGUAGUUUAUACUUUAACAUUAGUUUAUACGACUUCAUGCAUAAAAUUUGUUUAUAUAACAUUUUUUUAUAUAGCAUUUUUCCAUUCGUUGUCUUAAUCCACUUUGCUUUUCUAGGCACUUGAAGAUGAUCUACCCUCGCCCAUUACACCCAGAAACUCCCCACCCCUCCUUCUAAAUCUAUAUUUAUGUUAUUAAAAUAAAAAACCAAACAAAAGACAGCAAGGGGGAAUAUGAUAAUAGACAUACCUUUGCCACCAAUGGUACACCGGCACACUUUUCAGCUAUCGCCCUUCCAAUGCCCUCUUGAUCUGAAUCUAGAGAACGAGCAUUACCAUUUCGUAAUGCUUCACCCCUUAAUAUGGACCAACAAUCCUCGUUUGAUAGGAGCCCCAAAUCACACUUCGGCAUUGUCCCCGUGAUUAAUGCAACCUUUUCACUGCGGGUAGUAACAAUGGUAAUGCUUCCGGGAGCAGAAUUGAGCAUCGACAAACAAUCCGUAAAACUGCUCCAUAAAUCCUCAGCUUCAUUCCAAACAUCAUCGAGUAUCAGCAUAUAUCUCUUCCCUUUCAACCUUUCUUUGAGGUUAUUCAGCGAUGCUUCCCGACUUGUACAUCCUGCCAAUUUAAGGGACUCUAACAUCCGAUUUAGAAUCGAAUUAACGUAAAAAGGGUUGGAUACACACACCCACAUUUUUUCCUGGAAAUGUCCACCAAUAGCAUCAUCAUUGAAUAUUGAUUUUGCCAAAGUCGUCUUUCCAAGUCCUCCCAAUCCCACAACGGCCAUAACCGAAAGGUUAUUUUCCUGAUUCUUGGACUCGAUCAAGGUUGCAAUGAUAUCCGACACUGUCUUCUCCCUUCCAAUGAUCUUCUCAUCCUGACGGAAGCUUGAGACGGUUUCUCUGUUCCCCAUAGCUGGAAGGGUUUGAUCUUCUCUCCUUGCAACUAAGCCAAUGAAAGAUGCCUCACUCUUGAGAACCGCCAGGGACGCAUUGAUGUUCUUAAUCUUGUGUGCCAUCUUUUGACGAAAUAAAAUGGGAUUGGAGAGCGAAAAGAAGUUAAGUACCUUCUUCUUCAUGUGGUUUUGCAGUUCUGCUUUACGCCGGAGAACUUCAUAGUUGAUGUCCUCCAAGACAUCAUCAGCAUCAUGAGCUACGUCUUUCAGUUUUUUCACCCAGUCCUCCAACGCCUUGCGCUUGUGAGGUGGUUGGUGGGCAACAUCGCCUAAGUAAUCUUGAAUCGCAAGUGACGAUUGUUGAAGCUCAGUUAGCUCUUUAUUGAAUCCUCGGAAAAGACUGAUUUCUUGAGCAGCAAGUGAAGCGACCGACUUCAGUAUUCCCUCCACCGGAAAAGUGAUGAGACCUUCUAGCACCUUUACAGGAUCCAUACCCGCCCGAUAAGGGGAGAUUAGAGAGUAGGAAGCAGAGAACUGAGAGAAAGCCAAGGAAGGACACAAGAAGAGCGAAUUAGAUGAAUGAAAGGCUUAACAAUAAUUCAAGAAAAUGUGGUAUAAGAAGAAAGGACCCUUUAUAAUUGACGCCACUUUACGCCUGUGAGCGUCAACAUAAUGUUCAAGAGUGGAGGCCAACUUUAAUAAAGUAACGAGGAUUGAAUAGGAAAGAUAAAAAGAAGACAAAAAUAUAAACCCAUCUUAUUAGCAAAUGUGUUCCAAAAAUUAAUUACCUAGCAUUAUUCUAUCUAUAUUAUCAAGAGAACUUUCAUUGUCAACCUUUCUCGAAAAUAAGAAUUAUAUCAUUGUUUUUCUUAUUUUACCCUUAACCUUUUCUUAAAAUGACAAUCAUAUCCUCAGUUUUUUUAAUUUUACCCUCAUUUUUGAUACACAAUAUUUACAUAAAGAAGACAAAAUUGUAAUUAUAUAAUAUUAAGAAAAAUAUGCCCUUAUGAAGAGAAACUGUCUCAUCAUCAUUGUCUCAUACUUUUUAAAAAAAAUUUAAAAACUAAUCACUCCUUAAUCAAAAACAAAAAAGAAAAUGAAAUUAUUCACACACUAAGUGUGCUCAUCUGCCAGUUCAUAUAAAAGAUAACAGAUAGAAGAUGACAACUUUCACUUGGGCUUUCUAGUAAAUUAAUGAAAAUACACUAAAACCUAAAGAUGCUAAUUCAACAUGAUAAAUGACAGAAUUCGGCCUAAAAUGCUCAUGCAUCACAACAAAGUGGUGAAUUAAAUUUGUGAUUUUUCUGAAAAGCCGGUUCAAUGCAUAAAUAUUAUCAUGAAUUAACGAUAACGAUCAGAAUUCUCCUUGAGAGCAACAGGGGCAAGUUCUUGAGCCACGGCUUUACCUACUGAAACCUUUCUCCUAACAAAUGAGACGCCGGAUAACUUGCUGCGCAUCCAAGGCCAUCUUGAGCCCUUCAACCCCACCAACAUAACAUCCGACUCUAUUCCAAUCAAACAUGGGCCCCGCACGUCCCCACACGGCACAUUCCCUGACCCCCUUCGUCCUCAAUUUCCCUCCAAGAAUGUUACAUGGACAUCAACAUUCAAGUAUGAUGCAUAAACUGUAGUUUCAUCAUCCUUCCAACACGCAAUAUUUUAGUAUGCGUUGGUUGCAUCGAAUAUUUCAGACUGGAUUAGUUUUAGAGGCUAAGUUAAAUUAUGUUAAUAUAAACUAAACUUAAUUCAUAUGAUAAUACGUUUAAUGCAAUGUCAGAUUAAGACACAAAAUAAUUAAGAAAAAGGCAAAUGAAAAUCCAAUUACUUUGCUUUUAAAUCAGCAUAAACUUUUUUCUCAAAUAAUUCAAGAAAAUGUGGAUAAGAAGAUGAGAGAUACAUAUCAAGAUGGUAGGACCCCUUAUAAUUGAUGCCACUUUACAAUUGUGAACUUAAUUUGGUGAGACUGAGCACUUUUCUAAUAGUAUGGAGACAUAAAAUGGCAAAAAAUUGUAAAGCAAAGCAAGACCACAUAAAUGUAAAUCCAUCGUAUCAGCAAAGAUUUUUUCUGGACAAUUUUAGACAAUAGUGGAGAUUCAACUUUAUUAUAUGAAGAUAAUUCUAGUGUUCGGUCUUUUGAUCAAUCUGGCGAUGUGUUGCACACUCACACUAAUAUGAGCAUCAUUAUAUUGUGUUUUAUCAACCUUAAAAUUAACCCCACCCCACACGAUGGAGUGAGUCUAGUGCCGAAAAAUCAUUGUAUCAACCUCUCUAGACAACUUUAGAUGAUAAUAGAGAUCCGACUUCAAUAAAAUUAAGGAAAGAACAAAAAAUAAUAAUGCAACAGAGGAAAAAAAAAAGGGAGCACGUAAGUACAAAGAUUAUAUAAAAGAGAGAAAUGCUAAGUAACUCUCUUAAGUUGAGAUUCUAUGUGGACUUUUCGUUACUUUAUGUUUGUAAAAAAUUAUUUUAUAAUAUUGACAAGAAAAAAAAUUACAAAAAAUUUAUAGAGAAUCACACUUUUGAAAAAAUCUCCGAGAUUCUUGGCUUUUAUUACAGCUAUCCAACUAUCAAUAGCAUGCAUUGUUUUAGGAUGGAAUUUGGAAGCAUUUGAGACGGUCAUCCACGCACCAGAGAGAUGAAAGUCGUCAUGUAACUCUACCAACACGUAAUAGGGGUGGAAAAGCAAGGAGACAAAAUUGGUAUUGUAACCCUACCGACGCGUAAUAGAACGGUGGAAAAGCAGGUGCUGCUUUUUCAAGAAAACCAAGGGAAUGACGUUUCCACUUCCCAAUGGAAAACCACGAUGCCACUAUUUAAUCACUGGAUGGUUAAGAUUGAAAUUUCGCAAAAGAUUCAUGCAUAUACGAUAUUUAGUUAAUAAUUUAAUCAUUUGUAAUUACAUUAUUGAAUUUGUGAAUUUGAUUUAAAAUUUUUAAUUUCUCUAAUAUUACCAAUAUUGAAACACCUAACCCAACUCAAGCUCCUUCAAUCAACAAAAGAAAAAGUCAUCCACCUCCAUCAAAAUUGAGAUAAAAUGGACCAGAAUGCUCUCAUGAUCCUUCUCUCCAAAUCUGAUUGGGUCAUUUUCUUGAGUCGAGUAAUAGCAUUAAUAAGUUACAUAUUCUAUUAAUCGCCGAUAAAAUUCAAACUUACACCAUUAUACAAGGAUACAAAACAUUUCCAUCACUAUAAUAAAAGACCACUUGCGACCGGGUCAUUUAAUUUAAAUCGCCCAUCCCAGCGUGUGGCAACUUCUUUCUUUUCAUACUUUCUCUGCGUGAAGACGUCUACACGCGAAAGAUCUUCAUCGUCCACCUUAUUUCACGCGGUGAUUCAUUUAUUGACUUAAACUUGUUUCGAUUAGUCAACAAAUAUAGGUCUUCCAUGAAUUUUUGUCAGGACUCAGUGCUAGUGACUAUUCAAACCCUACCUAAUUCUCACAUCUUCACCAUGAUUAGUCAACAAAUAUUGGUUUUAACUUUUUACUAUACUAUAAUGUUUAGUCUCUAAAUUAUCUAAUAUUCUGUUAUCGGCCCCACGCGUUGUCCCCACAUGGCACAUCCCAUUUCUUCCUCAAUUUCCUCCAAUAAUGUUUACAUGGACGUCAAUAUUAAUUCAAGUAUAAUGGACAAGGUGUAGUUUCAUCGUCCUUCCAAUAUGCUAUAUUUGAGUAUGCGUUUGUUGCAAUGAAUUAUUUCAUAUUGAAAUAUAAAUACAAAUAUUAAACUGAAUUGACUUAAAAUACACUAAAUUUGACUAAUUUAAUGAAACGUUUGAUCUAAUUUCAAACUAAAUAGCAAAGUAAUUAAUAAAAUGGUAAGUUCAUCCCAACAAAAUUUACCACAUCACUAGUUUCAUCCCAACAAAAUUUGCAUAGUUCGAAUUAUUUAGGUUGAAAUGUUCACAAGAAAUAUUUUACGACAAUGUAAGAUUAAAUUAAUUCAAAGAAAGUUAACACAAACACAAAACUUUGUAACCAAUCAAAUUAUCAUAUAAAAUCGUAAAAACCAUAAAUUUAUGAAUUCUACCAUAGGAACUCACUCAUUGAAGGUAAUAUUGCUUUAGGGACACAAAGAUUCUUUUUAAAUCCUUAAAUGAGUCCUUAAAAGUGAUGGUUCAAGUCCCUAAAUCUCUAACACCUUGAGAGAUGAAAUAAAUUCAAAUCCGUAAAUCUCUAAACCUUUGGAACAUAAUAUUGGGGACCUUGCCAUAAAAAAUAAAGGGUGACUCUGAAUGCAGUCAUUAAUCACUAAUAUUGUUUGAUUGAAAUCUUAUUAGUUCUAAGUUUUUUUUAUCAAAGUCUUUGACUUUGUACGUCUCUUCAUAUUGAUAUUAAUGUAGUUUCAUAUCAACUAAUUAUUUUUGAAGUUCCUUAAUUCUUGGACUUCAAAUUUUGUAAUAAAUUAAUUCCUGAAAAAGCAUAAGACACAUAAUAAAUAGUAAAAUUUGUAACGAAUAGAACAUUUAUCUACCAAUAAUCAAGCAUUACAUUCUAAACACAUAAAAAACAAUGUACACAUAUAAUUGGAUUUUAAAAAAAAAGAAUUUAUCAUUAUAAUUGAGAAAUUUAGAAAAAUAAUCAAAAUUUGAACCUCAUAGAAAAUUAUAGCCGUUUUUUAAGUUAAUGAUAAUUAUAACCAAAGUUGAUGUAAAAGUAUUAACAUAUAUACUCAUGAGGUUCUCUCCGCCACCUCCAAUUCUUCAAACUUUUAGACCGUCUCCGAGGAGUUAAGCUCUCCAGUCCAACAUAAUAUCUAGGUUUUUCGUUUCAGUAGGUAAUCGUUAUAACCAUGGUGGGCAUGGCCACGAAAGGUACUAUUUUUCUUACGAUUCCUAACAUAUUCCUUCAAUUUUUGUUCUUUAAUUUUUCUGAUUUUUGUUGCAUUUGAUUUUCUAAACAUAUUAGAUUAGAUUUCGACCUCUUUCAUCAACACUGCGAAACCGAUGUUCCGAUUGGCCGGGCAAAGUCAUGGUACACCAUCCCAUUUCAGAUUGUAAAAGGUUGACUUUUGGUUUCUGGCUUUUAACUUUGAGCUUUUGGUUUUUGUUUUUUAAUAUUUUCACGUAGAAAUAGCAUUAUUAAUAUGGGAGCACAACAAUAUAUAUGAACCUACAGAGAAAUUAAAGAAAAACAGAGAUGUUGGUCUGCCAUAUGUAAAUUGACAUAUUUGGCUUCUAGCAUUGGGAAGAAAGAAAUUGUGUAUAUUUGAAUUAUAAAUUGCAUUUUCCAUCCAAAUUAAGUAUUUAAAAUUAUUGCCGACAAGAGGAGUUUUGUGAUUAGUCGCCUGCAGGUACGCGUAGACUCAUAUUUACUAUUCACAAAAUGUCAUUAUCGUUCCCGCGUGCAUACGUACGAUCCACCCGUCCAUUCUUGAUUUGUAAAUAUUAUAAACAUAAGUAGCUACUAUGAACGCAUAUGCCAUGACAAUUCUUUUUUUUUUUUUAUAAUUUAUUUUAUUUUUGCUUCUUUGAUUGUGAUAUCCCAGCAAAUUGAGGUUACCCCGUCAAACAAAAUCACUAAUAAAUUCGAUUUAGUAGUUGGCAGUCGGCUAUGGUGGGUGCGCCCAUGGUUUCAAGUCUAAUUUGCAUUUUUUAUUAAUAGUUGGCACGGUCACAUGGUGGUAACCACUUAUUUGUCUUUUGAUUGAUGCAGAUCCGGAUUAAAAAACAAAUGGUCUUUCUAAUUAGGAUAUUUUAUUACUAAUUGUGUUGAUCAAUGAUUGUUUGGCUAUUUGUAACUUGUAAGGUUCAUGAGUGUUGAAAGAGAAAACCGAACACAAGAUUUCAGUUGUAAGUACUAAAUGUAUGCUCUUAACCACUAGAGUUAUAAGUUUUUUGUGUGCUCAAUGUUCGACUCUCGUUCUUUCUAAACAUGAAUUGUGUGGACCAUUGGAUCUGAUGGAGAAUUGGACACCUUAGCAUCAUUGAAGUGAAACAUGCUAUUUGCUCCUCAAGAGGCUAUUUUUCAUGCAGACCUUACGUGCAGAUCAGAUAUAGUACUUUGGAUCUAAUUUGAACUACCGAAAUCAAAACAAGUUUAGGGUGAAACCAGCUCACAAUAAAACAAAGCUCAUUGGUGGAACAGGGUCUGAAAAACCCGUAUAAUUCAUCGGCACAACUCGAAUAUCUCAUCCUUUUUCGUUUUUUUUUUCUUUUCCCGCAAUGGAUUUGGAAUUCCCCAUGGCUGAUGUCACCACACGAGUCUCAUUAUCACCGGAAAAAACCAUGGACAUACUAAAAUCUGCUAUUUUCGUGUCCAAGUUUUCGUUGCACUGGGAUUACUCUCCACUCUUAAUCCAAUUCUCUUACUGGAUUCCCUUCUUAAGUGAGCUGAAAUACUAAUCAAAUUUAUCUGUGAUUAACAUAUUCUAGAAAACUCGGCAUGAUUUUAUUCAAGGAUGAAAGAUUGAAGAAAAAGAGUUACAUAUUGACUAAACAGAUUACCUUCCACAAAAUUGGUCUCAUAAAACUGUGUUAGUUGGGAGAACCUGCACAGAGUGAGAAGAAACACAACCUUCUACAAAAGCGUAUCUGCAGAGUGAGAAGAAACCUUCUACAAAAGUUGCAUCUUUCUUUAUUCAGAUUCGUACCAGUCCCGAUAACACUUAACACAUGAGAAAACGAGAGUGAGUGAACAAUAUUGAAUCAAAUAUUCAUGAAUAAUUGAUUGGAGAUAAAAAUAAAAAAUACCUCUGAUAUCUGGAAUAUGAUAAAUCUUCGGCCAUCUUGGGCCACUGUUCUUGGCGCAUUCUUUCUGCCAGACGUUGGUGAUUGGUAUUUAGUCUUUGGUUACUAUUAUCUUUAGCAAAUGGAGUAGACUUGUCCUUGAAAGUUGAUGACCAAAUUGACAACUACCUCCUCUUCAUUUGGCUACAAUUAAAUCCUAACUAGCUAGUAGCUACCCAGCAAAUGGUGUUGUCAUGGGACCUGCAUUGGUGGAAUAUGAACAUCUGGAAUUCAAUCCAGCUGAAUUAUGGUAUGGUGAAAUCGUAACACAAGUUUCUUCAUUUCAGCCGGGAGUUCCUUCUCGAUGCCUAGACACCUCCAUUUCCACAAUUCACAAAACUCAUGGUGGCUCUAUGUUGGGAGGCAUGCCGUGCUGUCUCUGAUGCUUCCAGACCGAAUUCACAUUGAACUCUCCUCGAAGCCUUUGAUCCAAAAUAGUAUUUCAAUCCCUGUUCUGGAACUCAAGAUUCACCCACUCCACUAUGUGGACAAGAUCAUCAUUUUCUAUGAUUGCAGGUUGGCCAGUAAAAAUCUAAACAUCAAUUUUUUUUUCUUUCAACCUUGCUAAUUAUAGUAUCUGCAGACCAAAUAAAGUAAUCAUAGAUCACUCACUGCUCAUAGAUUUGUUUUUUUUUUUUAACAUGAUCAAAAUUCUAAGAACAGUAGAACACAGAAAUCUGAACAAGCUCGGUAUCCCAUGACCGAUGCCACCAGAGUCUCAGUGUCACUGGGAAAAACCAUGGACAUACCAAACUCUGCUAUUUUGCAUCCAAGUUUUAAUUCAAGAGAAUGUUGGCAGUCUUUACAUCUCUAUGCACAAUACUGGAUUGUGCAUAUAUAUUAGCAUACAAAAUAACACUAAGCACCUAUCUAACGCAAUAUCUAAUGCUAUCCGAAGUCUCAUUUCCCAAGUUUAUGUGAGCUUUGUUGAAUUAUAAGUCUCUAGCUGAUUGAGUAUUAGAAAUAAGAUGAGUUUUAAUGUGUGUAUUCACUUGAGCAUAUCUGCCAAGUGUAAGGUUAAAUGAUGUAAGGCCAUGAGUGCUAUGUGGUGUUUGAUCCAUGUAAUUAGGUUGAUGAGUGACUAAGUUUAAAAGUAGUGUUUUGUGUGGUCCUAAAGCUAAGGCCAUCAGUUAAAUGUAAAGCAGUGUUAGUGCGCAUUUUUCUGUGCAGUACAAAUAUUCCUCUGCAAUACUUUUGCAGCAGAGAGAACAAGAAAGAAAAACUUUUCGGUUCAACUUCUAUCUUUGCUUUGCUUCUGUUCAGCAUUCUGAAAAUAAACCCAGCAAAAUCAAGUUACACUAACAUGGCCUCAGAGCCUUGUUUCGAUUAGAUCUGGGCGUGUUUCUGUGAGCUCAAACAUCACCGUUUCUGGACUCGGUGAAGUUUGCCGGAGUUUGUUUGUGAGCUAAGAACUACGUGUUUCUGGAUUCACACAAGCUCACGAUGGCUGGAUCUGGGAGUGCUGAAGUGAGGACCCCGAUCUUCUCCGGUGAGAACUACGAGUUCUGGAGAAUCAAAAUGGUUACCAUUUUCAAGUCAUAUGGACUGUGGAAUCUGGUGGAAAAAGGGAUUUCGGUUUCUGAUUCGAAGAAGAAGAAAGCUAAGACUGAUGAAGAUACAGAUGUUGAUGCUGACGAUGAUGAGAAAAUGGCUGCAACCUUCAUGAAAGAUGCAAAAGCACUCGGAAUCAUUCAAAACGCAGUCUCUGAUCAGAUUUUCCCUCGAAUCGCAAACGCAGACUCAGCAAAAAUGGCAUGGGAUCUGUUAUAUGGCGAAUAUCACGGUGGGGAUCAGGUAAGAUUUGUGAAACUCCAGAAUCUUAAACGAGAAUUUGAAUACACUAGAAUGCGUGAUGAUGAAUCUUUGACUGGGUAUCUUACUCGUUUAAAUGAUCUGAUUAAUCAAAUGAAGACGUUUGGUGAAAUUCUGUCAAAUGAGAGAUUAGUUCAGAAGGUGUUAAUCAGUCUCACUAAGAUAUAUGAUCCUAUAUGCUUAGUGAUAGAAAACACCAAAUGUUUAGAAUCUGUUGAAUUGCAAGAGGUACUAGCUAUAUUGAAGAGUCAAGAGCAGAGGUUUGAUUUGCAUUCCUCUGAUGCAACUGAGAGAGCAUUUUCUUCUCUUACUGUUAGUUCAAAAGGGCAGAAUCGAAGUUAUGCUCAGUCUAGUACUUUUAAACCACAGAAAAAUUGGAAUCAAAAGGGUAAGAAAUGGGAUUUAAAACCAAAGUUUCAGCAAAAAUCAUACACAAAUGUUGCACAGAAUAGUAUUUCCUCACAGAUUAUGGGUCAAGAGAGUGUAAAACCUCAAUGUAAGGUGUGUUCAAAGUUUCAUUAUGGUGAAUGUAGAUAUAAGGGGAAAUCCAAGUGCCAUAACUGUGAUAGAUUUGGUCAUUGGGCCAGAGAGAGUGUACUGUUGGAAAGUCUGUUCAAAAGGCAAACUGUGCAAGUCAAAUGGAAGUGACAGGAAACUUAUUUUAUGCAAACUGUGCAGUUGCUGAGACUAAGGUUAAUGGAGAUUGGUACAUAGAUAGUGGCUGCAGUAAUCAUAUGACAGGAAAUGUUGAUCUUCUUGUUGAUGUGAAUACAAAUGUUGCAGGGAAAGUUCAAAUGCCAACAGGAGGGUUAGUUAAUGUGGCAGGAAUGGGAUCACUGGAAAUUGAGACUAACAGAGGAAGAAAAUACAUUCGAGAAGUCAUGUACUUACCUGGUUUGAAGGAGAAUCUAUUAAGUGUAGGACAAAUGGAUGAGCACGGAUACUAUCUUGUGUUUGGUGGACAUAUGUGUACUGUUUUUGAUGGUCCUUCUCUGAAAUGUCAAAUUAUCCGUGUAAAAAUGAAAGAAAACAGGUGCUAUCCUCUAUCUCUACGGCCUGAGAAACAACUUGUGUUGAAGACCAGUUUUGCUCAUUGUUCUCUGACUUGGCACAGAAGAUUAGGUCACCUACACUUUGGUGGAAUUAAGAAAUUGAAGGAUAAUGACAUGGUACAUGGAUUACCAUAUCUAGAUGAGUAUGACAAAGUGUGUGAAGGCUGUCAAUAUGGUAAGCAACACAGAGAAAGGUUUCCUAGUGGUCAAGCACAAAGAGCUGGUGCUCCACUUGAAUUGGUUCAUGUAGAUCUGUGUGGACCGAUGAGAAUCGAGUCUACUGGAGGAAACAAGUACUUUAUGUUGCUUGUAGAUGAUGCAACCAUGAUGAUAUGGGUGUAUUUUCUUAGAUUCAAAUAUGAAGCUUUUACUUGUUUUCAGAAAUUCAAGGCCAUGACUGAGUUGCAAAGUGGAAUGAAGGUAAAAUGUGUAAGGAGUGAUAGAGGAGGGGAGUUCUUAUCAAAUGAAUUCAAGCAAUACUGUGACACAGAGGGAAUCCAAAGGCAACUGUCUCUCUCUUACACUCCACAGCAAAAUGGAGUGGUUGAAAGAAAAAACAGAACUGUGAUUGAAAUGGCCAAGUCUAUGCUUCAUGACAAAGGAAUGCCUUACUAUAUGUGGGCAGAAGCUGUGCAUACUGCUGUCUAUCUGUUAAACAGAUGCCCUACCAAAUCACUGGAUAGUAUAACACCUUUUGAAGCUUACAGCAAAAGGAAACCAGGUAUUGCUCAUUUGAAGGUUUUUGGCUCAGUUUGUUAUGUUCAUACUCCAUCCGAGCUAAGACACAAGCUAGAACCCAAGAGUAUAAAAGGAGUCUUUGUUGGAUAUGCAAAAUGUGAGAAAGGCUAUAGAGUAUUUGAUCCAAUCUCUAAGAGACUGAUUCUGUCAAGAGAUGUUGUGUUCGAUGAAAACUCAGCUUGGGAUUGGGAAAGAAGCACUGAAAGAUAUAUGUCACUGCCUACUUAUGAGUUUGACUCUGUUGAUACACAAAGAAGUGAAAAUGCAGAAAAUGACCCUCAAGUUUCAAGUGAUUUAUCAUCUGGAAUAUUGGAAGAAGCUGCAAGUGGUAUUGAUGAUACACAGAUCAACUCUCAGUCAAGUGCAGGUGUGAAUGACACUCAGUUUUUUGAUCAUACUCCAUUAAAAUGGAGAAAGCUGGAUGAUGUUCUUGCUCAGUGUAAUCUUUGUAUUAUAGAACCAGAGAAAUAUGAAGAUGCAGCUAAGGAUGAAUCUUGGAUGAAUGCUAUGAAGGAUGAGCUCUCCAUGAUUGAAAAGAAUGCAACCUGGGAGUUAGUGGACAGGCCAAGUAACAAGCCUAUAAUUGGAGUAAAAUGGGUGUGUUUAAAACCAAACUCAACCUGGAUGGAACUGUGCAAAAGAACAAGGCAAGGCUUGUUGCAAAGGGAUAUGCACAGAAACCAGGAAUAGACUACAAUGAGACCUUUGCUCCUGUUGCUCGAUUAGAUACAAUCAGAACCCUUAUAGCAUUGGCUGCACAAAAGAGUUGGAAACUCUAUCAACUUGAUGUUAAAUCGGCUUUUUUAAAUGGUGUUCUAGAGGAGGAGGUUUAUGUGGAGCAACCUGAUGGUUUUGUAGCUAAAGGGGAGGAAGACAGGGUAUAUAAACUUCACAAAGCCUUGUAUGGUCUAAAACAGGCACCACGGGCCUGGUAUGGAGAGAUAGAUACAUAUUUCUCACAAUGUGGUUUCACAAGAAGUUUAAGUGAACCAACACUGUACAUCAAGACAGAAGAGGAAGGCAUUUUGAUUGUGUCGAUCUAUGUGGAUGACAUAAUCUAUACUGGGAGCAACAAACAAAUGCUUGAAGAAUUCAAGGAAGACAUGAAACGAAAGUAUGAGAUGACUGAUUUGGGCCUUCUCCAUCAUUUUCUUGGAAUGGGAAUAAUUCAAACCACUUCAAGCAUUUUCAUCCACCAAAAAGAAAUAUGCAAACUCUCUGUUAGACAAAUUUGGUCUAAAAGAGUGCAAACCUGUGCUUACUCCAUUGGUUGCAACUGAGAAGUUAACCACGGAUGAUGGAAGUGGUGCUGCAAGUGAAGAAUUAUAGAAGUUUGGUGGGAAGUCUCUUAUAUCUCAUUGCAACCAGGCCUGAUAUUAUGUAUGCAUCCAGUCUGUUAGCCAGAUUUAUGCACUGCCCUACCAGUAAGCAUGUUGGAACUGCUAAAAGAGUGCUAAGAUACAUUAAGGGUACACUUGAUUAUGGUCUGGAAUAUGUGAAGGGUAAGGACUCAAUGUUAAUUGGGUUCUGUGACAGUGACUGGAGUGGAUCAAUUGAGGACAGUAAAAGUACUUCUGGUUAUGCUUUCUCCUUUGGCAGUGGAGUAUUCUCUUGGGCAUCUGUGAAGCAAAAUUGCGUUGCUCUUUCCACUGCAGAAGCAGAGUACAUCAGUGCUUCAGAAGCAACUACUCAAGCCAUUUGGUUGAGAUUUGUUCUUGAAGACUUUGGUGAAUUUCAAACCGAAGCCACUCCAGUGCACUGUGACAACACCUCAGCAAUUGCAAUCACCAAGAACUCUGUGUUUCAUCAAAAGACCAAACACAUUAACAGAAGAUACCAUUUCAUCAAGGAUGCACUGAAGGAUGGCAUCAUUGAUCUGGUGUACUGUCCAACUAAUGAGCAACUUGCUGAUAUCUUCACAAAACCUUUGCCUAAAGAUCGGUUUAAUUAUCUCAGGAGCAUGCUAGGAGUGAAAUCAGCUCAAGACUUAAAGGGGAGUGUUGAAUUAUAAGUCUCUAGCUGAUUGAGUAUUAGAAAUAAGAUGAGUUUUAAUGUGUGUAUUCACUUGAGCAUAUCUGCCAAGUGUAAGGUUAAAUGAUGUAAGGCCAUGAGUGCCAUGUGGUGUUUGAUCCAUGUAAUUAGGUUGAUGAGUGACUAAGAUUAAAAGUAGUGUUUUGUGUGGUCCUAAAGCUAAGGCCAUCAGUUAAAUGUAAAGCAGUGUUAGUGCGCAUUUUUCUGUGCAGUACAAAUAUUCCUCUGCAAUACUUUUGCAGCAGAGAGAACAAGAAAGAAAAACUUUUCGGUUCAACUUCUAUCUUUGCUUUGCUUCUGUUCAGCAUUCUGAAAAUAAACCCAGCAAAAUCAAGUUACACUAACAAGCUUCUAUCUGCAUCCGCAACCAUUGACAUGACACUUAAAUAUUUUGAAACCCUCUGUUGGAGGACAAUGCUAUGUAAAAUAUAGAAUUACAUACCUGAUCGGAGAUAUUCUUUUAGGUUUUCGUUAAGCAUGUACUUGUAUAUAAGUGCCAACUUGUCGAUAUCAUCACAGUAUCCAAUAAAUGAGGCCAAGUUUCUAUGAUGGAUUCUCUUCAGGAGCUCAACCUGCAGCCACAAGGAACUCAUCAAUCUCUAACCAACGAGACGAGGCAUUUAACUUGCAUUCCAAGGAAUUAAAUUCAAACUGUCAAACCUCUGUUUGGAACUCCCUAGCUGAGCUAGCUCCUUGAGAUGACGAUGUAGAACCACAUCUUGAGUGCCGUAUUUCAACUAUCCAUGGUACAAUCCCAAAUCCCCCUUUCCCGAUUUCAGUUUUAAAGUUUUUGGUGAUUUCUAAAACCUCAUCAUAAGUGAACUAGAACUUCUGAAGCUACAGGAGUUUUGUUACGUUUUCUCCAUUUGCAGCUUAAGUAGACAAAAAGAUAUGUGUUCAGACUAACUGGUCAGAAAUACUACUGCACCAUAGUAGGAGCGCCGGUUCUAACUGAAUAAGUAUCAAAGGUAUAAAAUGGUACCUGGUUUUCUUAUUCUUCUCAGCUUCCAUACCAGUAUGAGCACUAUAACUAGGAGGAGAGGCCACUGCUGACAGUAAUGAUCCAAGUAUUGGAACAACCAUGUUCUCCUUGCACUUGAUUGAAUCUGAACUAAAACAGGACUUAUAAGCACAUCGAAAAUCUGAAGGACACAAUACCAUUAGCUUUCAUUAAAGAAAAUGCUAACCUAUUCGGUGCUCUCCAUGAACGAAACUUGCACAGAGCAGUAGGACGAGGAAACCAGUUGAGAUCUUCUUCUCUCUUUGUCUCACUGCAGCCUAUGAACUACCUGGUAUUUAAAACGCGUGACAAUGUUCCGACCAAAAAAGCAGAAAAACGUAUGUGACAGUGUGGAUUUGUACCUCAUGCUGCACAACUUUACAUGAAACAUGAUCCUUAUCACACGGAGAUGCUCAGUCUACAUCAAUCAAUGGAUCAUGCAAUGUUCAUACUAAGAGAGCAAUUUGGUUAAGCCAACGUAUUUUCUAGUCAAAACAUUUCAAGCAUUGUUCCAAAUUGAUUAAGUAGAGGACAAUAUCGAUAUAUAUUAGUAUUUAGCCUACGCUGAUUCACUACACAACAGAUCCCACACCCAUUUUUAACCCAUCAAGUUUUGAACAUGGAAUGAAUGAGAUAGUUUGUAGGAACCAGCAAAGGUAAAGCCUAAAUAGCUACCUAGCAUGUUGCUGUCAUUGAACCUGCAUUUGUGGAAUCUGAACCAAUGGAAAUCACUCUAGGUGAACUCUGGCAUGGUGAAAUUGUAACACAAGUUUCUUCAUUUGAGCCUGGAGUUCUUUGUCGAUGCCUAGAGACCUUUAUUCCAUACAUUGUGUUAGUUGGCACAGCACAGAACCCAUGGUGGUUAUAUGUUGGCACGUGAAAGUUGUGCAUGCCAUUGCUGUCUCUAAAGCUUUCCAGGCCGAAUUCACAUCCAACGCUCCUCGAAUCAUUUGAUACAAAAUCGUUGUUAAAUCCCAUUCUGGAACUCAGGGUUCACCCACUGCACUAUGUGGACAAGAUCAUCAAUUUCUAUGAUUGCAGGUUGGCCAGUAAAACUCUCAAAAUCAAUUUUUUUCAUUCUACCUUCGACAAUUAUAGUACCUGCAGACCAAAAAAAAGUAAUAUCAAACCACUCACUGUUCAUGCAUUUGUAUUUAUAACAUGAUAAAAAAAAUCUAAUAGAACGCAGAAACUUGAACAUACUCUAGAUCAAGAUAACCCACUCUGCCCAUGACCGACGUUACCACACAAGUCUCAUUAUCACUGAAAACAACCCUGGACAGACCGAAAUCUUCUAUUUACGCGUCCAAGCUUUUAUUGCACUGCGCUUGCUCCUCUCUUAAUGCAAUUCUCCUACUGGAUUCCCUUCUUAAGUGAGCUGAAAUACAAAUCCAAUUUAUCUGUGUUUAAAGUAUUCUAGAUAACUCGACCUGAUUUUAUUCAAGGAUGAAAGAUUGAAGAAAGAAGUUACAUAUUGACUAAACAGAUUACCUUCUAAAAAAUUGGUCUAAGAAAACUGUGUUAGUUGAGAGAACCUGCACACAGUGAGAAGAAACACAACCUUGUACAAAAGUGUAUCUCAACAUAUGGAAAUCACUCUAGGUGAACUCUGGCAUGGUGAAAUCGUAACACGAGUUUCUUCAUUUGAGCCUGGCGUUCUUUCUCGACACUUAGACACCUUCAUUCCAAACACUUCCAAACGAGAUAGAGAGUGCAGCCCCUUGGGCAAAUAUUGUAAUUUCCCACAUUUAUAUAAUUCCAAAUGAGAUAGAGAUUGCAAGCUGGAGACAUUGUGAUCCGGCAGAGAUAUCAAAUUGGAGCAUUCACUGACACGCAAAUCGGUAGACUUAUUAAUCCAUCACAUCCCCUAAUUAUCAACUCAGUGAGGGAGGUGGGAAUAGCCUCUAGAUUAGGGUAAAAAUAUAUAUCCAUCUUCUGAAGAGAGACGGGGGUUUGUAGCCCGUGACCCGACAAAGUCCUCAAAUUUGGACAAUUACAGAUCUGCAGUGUGCAAAGACUAGUUCAAGAAUGGAGCCCACGUAUACUUGCGAAUCCAUCGCAGUGUUCAAUAGACAAUCAGCGGAGGGAUGUGCAACCCUUUAAAGACAAGUCCCCCUCGAGAGUAGUGCAUCUCUCAAAAACCAGAUCAUGAAGUGAGGCAGACUCUGAAGUACGUCUUAGCUUUGGGCAAUCAAUUAUUUUCAACUCCUGAAGAGAUUGGGAUGGUGAAAUUUGGAAGGAUUCUAGAUUGCCGCAAUCCUCAAUUUCCACCGUCUCAAGUGAGGGGCAAUAUUCUAACCCACAACACAAGCUCGACAAUUUCUCACAGCUCCUAAUUCUCAAUUGAUGGAGAUUGGUUACUCGACAAUUUCUCAUCAUUCAAGAUGCAAAUUUAGUACCCUUGAAUUCCUCAAUCGUCAAGCUUUCUAAGUUGGGGUGCGGUUGGAAUCCUUCAAGAAUAUCCUCGUCAAGAAAAUUGCCAUUUCUUUCUUUAGGAGGGACCCGCCCCCAUUUUAAUAUCAAUUUUCGUAGGUUUGCCUUUUCCACUAAUUUUGAUUUCACUGCUUCUUCCUUGUCUCUCACAUAUUCUAAUGCUCCAAUAACUAGUUCCCCUUUCAAUUCAUUUAACCUGCCCAACUCAUCAAUUCUAUGACGCCUUGCUCUUUCCAAUUUAAAUGAAGGUAGCGUCUGCAGAUGAGUCAAUCUUGUCAUCCCAAAUGGAACUUCCACAUCCUCGUCGAAAUAAACAUGUCUGAAGUUGAUCAAAUUUUCCAUUUCCUUAGGAAACGUCUUAAG
rnacentral:lncRNA from 1 species